rnacentral:rRNA from 1 species
AUGAAUCACAACGCAUUUGAUUUGAGGGUCGAUAGCGUGAAUGAGACACAGUUAUUUCUCAGCAGCAAAAUUCGGUAUUUACAUCCUUUCACCUCCUUCAGCCUGGGGAUGUCGGCGACGGGGACGGACACCGAGAAUGACUCCCACCGCAGUACGUCGGCGAAGGGCGGCGCGUAG